AUNCCGANUAGGGAUCGGACGAUGUUAUUUUUUGACUCGUUCGGCNCCUUACACGAAAGUAAAGUUUUUGGGUUCUGGGGGGAGUAUGGUCGCAAGGCUGGAACUUAAAGAAAUUGACGGAAGGGCACCACAAGGGGUGGAGCCUGCGGCNUAAUUUGACUCAACACGGGGAAACUCACCAGGUCCAGACACAACUAGGAUUGACAGAUUGAGAGCUCUUUCUUGAUUUUGUGGGUGGUGGUGCAUGGCCGUUCUUAGUUGGUGGAGUGAUUUGUCUGCUUAAUUGCGAUAACGAACGAGACCUUAACCUGCUAAAUAGCCCGUUCCGCUCAGGCGGAACGCUGGCUUCUUAGAGGGACUAUCGGCUCAAGGCGAUGGAAGUUUGAGGCAAUAACAGGUCUGUGAUUCCCUUAGAUGUUCUGGGCCGCACGCGCGCUACACUGACAGAGCCAGCGAGUUCCUCCUUGGCUGGAAAGCCCGGGUAAUCUUGUGAAACUCUGUCGUGCUGGGGAUAGAGCAUUGCAAUUAUUGCUCUUCAACGAGGAAUCCCUAGUAAGCGCAAGUCAUCAGCUUGCGUUGAUUACGUCCCUGCCCUUUGUACACACCGCCCGUCGCUACUACCGAUUGAAUGGC
rnacentral:rRNA from 1 species